rnacentral:lncRNA from 1 species
AAUAACCCCUAUUCAUUUUAGAUUCCUUUCCUCUAGGUUCCUGGAAGCAGACCCUAGCUUCUCUCUUUUUCCUCACAAAGAAAGAAAGAUGAAACUGAAGCCAGAGUGACCGAUGUUCUAACAUUUGAUUGGGAAUAGGCAGUGAAACCUUCCGGAACUUUAAAAAAAUCUGCGGAAGGCCAAUCAAGUCUCCACCACUCCCAAAACUCAGUCAAUAAUAAGCCAUGGGAGAUGGAUUAAUGGAUCAAACACCUGUCUAUAGCUUUCAGCCUUUCUAGAACCACAGGAGAUUAUCACAGUAUUACAUGUUCCUGGGGCAAAUAAACCUAGCACCUAGGAGUUUUCACUGAGGGCUUUUCCAGAAGACACCACAAAAAUCCAAUCUUGCCUCAUCUAACAGCAGACCUGUGGUCUUCCCUACUGCCUUGGUUAUGCUGUAGCUCAUAAAACAAUGUUUCAGCCUCCAUGUUGCCUCAUCUGUCCUGAUACUUCAUAGAGGAAAACCACAGAGGAAUCAGGAGCCUGGGAAGCCAACAAAGAAGAAGGCAGAACCUAAAAGUCCAAGAGAGAAAUUCUGGAAAAUGUUAUAUAAACACCUGAUCCAGCUGUAUCUGAAGCCAAAAGACAAACAAAAACUUAAACAAGU